AAUGGGCGAAAGCCUGACGCAGCAACGCCGCGUGGGUGAUGAAGGUCUUCGGAUCGUAAAACCCUGUCGUCGGGGACGAAGGUUGUAUGCCUAACAGGUGUGCAAUUUGACGGUACCCGGAGAGGAAGCCCCGGCUAACUCUGUGCCAGCAGCCGCGGUAAUACAGAGGGGGCAAGCGUUAUUCGGAAUUAUUGGGCGUAAAGGGCGCGUAGGCGGUUUUUUAAGUCAGAUGUGUAAUCCCCGAGCUCAACUUGGGAACUGCAUCUGAGACUGGAAGGCUAGAGUACUGGAGAGGGUGGUAGAAUUCCACGUGUAGCGGUGAAAUGCGUAGAGAUGUGGAGGAAUACCAGUGGCGAAGGCGGCCACCUGGACAGUAACUGACGCUGAGGCGCGAAAGUGUGGGUAGCAAA
rnacentral:rRNA from 1 species